rnacentral:rRNA from 1 species
AACGAACGCUGGCGGCAGGCCUAAUACAUGCAAGUCGAACGGAUGUAGCAAUACAUUAGUGGCGCACGGGUGCCUAACGCGUGGGAACAUACCCUUGAGUAAGGAAUAAUGUCUGGAAACGGACACUAAUACCUUAUAAUGACUUCGGUCCAAAGAUUCAUCGCUCGAGGAUUGGCCCGCGUCUGAUUAGCUAGUUGGUGAGGUAACGGCUCACCAAGGCGACGAUCAGUAGCUGGUCUGAGAGGAUGAUCAGCCACACUGGGACUGAGACACGGCCCAGACUCCUACGGGAGGCAGCAGUAAGGAAUAUUGGACAAUGGGGGAAACCCUGAUCCAGCCAUGCCGCGUGAGUGAAGAAGGCCUUAGGGUUGUAAAGCUCUUUCAAUAGUGAAGAUAAUGACGGUAGCUAUAGAAGAAGCCCCGGCUAAAUUCGUGCCAGCCGCCGCGGUAA